rnacentral:rRNA from 1 species
AUCCUAGUAAUCCGCGGGAGAAGGCGGAGUUCCUUUGGGACCGAAGUCACGGGUGUUCCAUGUUUUUUUUCAGUUGGUGUUUGGAAAUUCUGGUUUAAUUCCCGAAAGGGGGCAAACCCUUUUCUUUAUUUCCCAGGGAUUAGGUCGGGAACUCUAGGGAGACUGCCGGUGAAAAACGGGAGGAAGGUGGGGAUGACGUCAAGUCAUCAUGGCCCUUACGUCUAGGGCUACACACGUGCUACAAUGGCAGGUACAAAGGGCAGCAAUACGGCGAGGUGGAGCG